rnacentral:misc_RNA from 1 species
UAAACUGCAACUCCCGUUGCCUAAAAGUGUUGAUGGAGUCACCCUGGAUCCAAAUCCUGAUUGGACCUUUGAUGCUUUAUUGGUUGAGCUCAAUUCGAUUGAGAAGAAGCUCAAUCCAUCAUCAAAAUUUCCAAUACCUUUUACGAAAACAGAAUCUCGACAACUCUCGGCUUCGAAGGAUAAUUCUCGGAGAGGCUUUGUUAUGCAAGUGUCUGAUGACGACGUGGAGGAUAUGGACAGAGAUACUAAGCAUGAAGUUGGUGAUCAUUUACUUAUGGGAGGAAAACGGUUUGCCUGUCACGAAAUCUAUCUGAGUGAUAGCGACCAAUCUGAAGAAGGCCUAAACAUCGAACUUCAAGAUGAUCUAAUGGAUAAAGUGGGAUUAGUGGAAAGUGCUUUAUCUGAGUUAGCUCAUGACCAUCAGCUUACUAUUGCGGAGGAAAUGAGAGAUCAACUAUCAGUACUUGAAGCCGAGUUGACGGAUGAAAGUGAGAAGCUUGCCUCCAUACUAGAACGAGUUGAGAGAAACACUGAAGCUCAAAGGGAAAUGAACAGAAAAUUCGACAUGCAGUACCAACGUAAAAUUGCAGAAGCCCUUGAUGAUCACCUAACUACGGUACAAAGGGAUCACGAACACAGAUCCCAAAUUGAAGAAAGGAGAAUAAGAGAUGAUGCAGCUCGUGAAGAGGCCAAGAGGAAAGAAAAAGCUCUUCAUGAAGAAAAAGCCCGGCAAGAAAGGAUCAGAGCAGAAACCAAGGUGCAAGCUAGGCUGGAAGCUGAAAGAGUUGAAAAGGAAAAAGCUGCUGCGCUGGAAGCUGAAAGAGUUGAAAAGGAAAAAGCUGCUGCGCUGGAAGCUGAAAGAGUUGAAAAGGAAAAAGCUGCUGC